rnacentral:lncRNA from 1 species
GAUCAAAUCUACCAAAAAGAAAAAGGAGUUUCCUCUUCAAUCCAAAAGGGACCAGAGCUCCCAAGAGAGAACGACUGACCUACCCCAUCAAAAAAAUUCAUUCUCUCUUUGAUUUGGAGAAAACGAUCGAACUCCACCUCCCAGACAAAAGGCAACGGCCAAAUCUCUCUUCCUUUCACCUAAAGAUUCUUUGGCAGAUAGAGGUGGAAGUGAGGAAACGAAACAGUUAUGGAAAUUUGGCAUUUUCCAUAAGUCACUUUGAAAUUCAGUCCAAGUUGUCAACUCAAGCGCACUCUUAGACUCAAAAAUCGGUCCAGAUUGUUGAUUUCCAUUUCGAAAUUUCAAGCUCCUGCUAAACAUGAAAGCAUUCGUCGAGGUUGUUGGGUUCGUUGAGGUUUCCGGCGAGGUGGACGUCGCCCAUUCCAGCUCAUUUCCGGCUUUUAUUUGGUACUUCGAACUAUUUCCUUACUUUCAAUAGUUGUUGUUCGAGUUCUGAAAAUCCGUUCGAGGUCGGAGAUUUCCGGUGAGGUUUCUGGACGGAUUUGGGUUCCGUCGAGUUAUCGUUGUCCAAAUUUGCUGGUUUUAAUCGUUUUCAGAACAUAAUUUUUUUGUAUCGAGGUCAAUUUCUUUCUUUAAUCUUAAAUUUCCUCUCUGUUUCCUAUUCAUUAAGUUUUGAUAAUUAUGAAUACCGUGUAGUUGUUACACUUGUUUUGUUGCUUGUUUGAAACUCUCUUAAUUUGGUUCCUCUAUGUCGAAGUUUUCAUCGAUGCAGUCUUUGGGAACAAACAUGAAUUAGCCAAUUAUUUUAUUUUUAUUAGAAGUGUGAAUGCAUAUGAUCCGUUUAGUUAAUUGUUCUUUUGGAUUAAAACUUGUCGAAAUGAUGCUGCUUAUAUGGUUUUGCACGAUUCUUUGUGAUAUCCUUUGAUAUUCCAAUGAAAUUUGCUUGAGUCUUGUUGCCAGAUUCCUAGAUGCAAUUAAAUUGACAAGGAGAUUUUUGCUUAUGAGUUUUGAAGUAGGCUAGUUAGAUAUUUACCUUAACUGAAUGGACUUAAGCUUGAAUUAUAUAACAAGUUCGAUUAAAUCAGUUAGGUUGCUUUAUAUUCAUUGCUUAUUAUCGUAGUUUGCUUUAGGCGCGUUAUUUUAUAUUUAUUUUCUUUUGUUUUAUUAAACUCGGGUGCGCAUUUAUGUGACCCAAAUCCAAAUCUCAAUAAUGUUAAAUAAAAUGUGUUGCGGACUGCGGGUGCAUUUAUGUGACAUAGUUCAAGACGCAUUUCAUGUAAUGUUGAAUCUUCCUUAAAAUAAGUAAAAGCUGUUAAAUAAGUUAAAAUAUACCAUAGGCUAAAACAUGUAUAAAAAUCAGAUAAUUAAGCCGUAUAUAAUAGUUGAGCGACCGUGCUAGAACCACGGAACCCGGGAAUGCCUAACACCUUCUCUCGGGUUAACAGAAUUCCUUACCCGGAUUUCUGGUUUGCAGACUGUAAUACAGAGUCAAUCUUUUCCUCGAUUCGGGAUUCUAAACCGGUGACUUGGGAUACCAUAAAUUAUCCCAAGUGGCGACUUUGAAUUUUAAUAAAAUAAUCUCGUUUCGAUUGUCACUUCAAGUGGAAAAACUCCCUUAUACACCCUUUCCGGGGUUGUAGGUAAAAAGGAGGUGUGACACCUUUGGCGACUCUGCUGGGGAUCGAACCCAGAAUCUCUGGUUCAGGGUUUAAAAAUUCAAGCUUAGAUGAAUUGUUACAUUUGAUUUUAUCUAUUAUCUGAUUUUAUUACAUGUUUGAGCCUAAUGUGCUAAAUGUUGCUUUUUACCGCUUUGAUAUUAUCUGAACUGUAUAUAUAAACUGCUACAAAACCCCUCUCUUCUCUCUCCUGAGGAGUGCACGCUGGUCGUGACUUCUUUCUGUUAGUGUCAUAUCCCAAAUAGAACGAAGUUCAGACAAGUUGCAAAGUCAGAUGAUCUUUUGGUUACCGGUACGCAGCCCUCCCUCUGCUCGAGUUGUUCGCUCGGGUAAGCCAGGUCUAGAACAAAUAAACCUAGGUUUUUUAAAACCUAGUAUAAUAAUACCUCAUGCUGGAUCCCAAGUAGGAAUGUUUGUUUGCAUCGUGUGCAUUUUGAGUUAGGAGACUCAACACAGGGUUGGGUCCAUCUAGGACAGGUAUACCCCAAAAAAUAAAAGACCAUCCUGAUGCAUCUUAUGUGCUAUAUGUUACAUUUAUUCAAGGGUAAAAGGGUCAUUUGGCAGACCAAUAAUAGCUAAGGGUAGAUGAAGAAAUGAAAAAAAAACAAUGAAAAAGAAAGAAGAAAGAAAAAAAAAAAAAAGAGAGGGUGAAGUGUGAAGAUAAAGAGAGCGGGGCCUAAUUAUGUUUUCUGUUACAUUUUGUUAAGAAAAAAAGAGCUUGAAAAAUUCAAAAAUGUUUGUACUUUUUCAUCAUUUUUCAAAAAUCAAAAAUCAAAAAAAGGGGAAAAAGAAAAUAAAAAAAAGAGUUUACAUGUUUCAUCAUUUUUCAAAAAAAGAAAGAAAGAAAAGACAAAAAAAACAUAUUUCCCUAAAUUAGUUGUUAUUUUUAUUUUUCGCCCGUAUCCAAUCUUUCCGAACUAUGCUUACCUGAUUCUCGUCUUUCGGGGCGUGAUACGUAGGCAACCCACAUAGGGUCCGGUCAUCCUAGUAAAUCUUAGUUUCUUGGCUUUGCGGGGUCUUAGCCAAAUUUUGCACUUCUAACCACUUUUUGACCAAAUAAGUCAUUUUGCAAAAAUAGCCUCAAUCAUGUCUUGCAUGUGUCUAGUAGGGAAUGUUAUAUUCUCACAUAAUGUUAGUUUGAGUUUUCUCAUACAGGUGUGGAUCUACUUAUCGGAGUUUGAGCAUGACAGAUACCCCAGCACCACCGCAUUCAGGAGUUUGCUUAAGGAGAUUUUUUAUAUUUGUUAUUUUUAUUUUAUUUUUAUGUUUGGAGUAUAUUUUUUUUACGUCGUCUUUUACUUUCUAGUUUUGUACAGCAAUGUAGAGUUUUUUGUUAUUGUACUUUU